UACGUAGGGAGCAAGCGUUGUCCGGAAUCAUUGGGCGUAAAGCGCGCGUAGGCGGCCCUGUAAGUCCGUUGUGAAAGUCAAAGGCUCAACCUUUGAAAGCCGAUGGAUACUGCAGGGCUAGAGUUCGGAAGAGGCGAGUGGAAUUCCUGGUGUAGCGGUGGAAUGCGCAGAUAUCAGGAGGAACACCAAUAGCGGAGGCAGCUCGCUGGGACGAUACUGACGCUAAGGCGCGAAAGCGUGGGGAGCGAACAGG
rnacentral:rRNA from 1 species